rnacentral:pre_miRNA from 1 species
GCAAUACUCCCUCCGUUCGGAAUUACUUGUCUCGGAAAUGAAUGUAUCUAGAACUAAAAUACAUCUAGAUACAUCCAUUUUCGCGACAAGUAGUUCCGAACGGAGGGAGUACAUC